GGGUCAGUAGGUUGGUCGUGCCACCGGUACGUACUGGUCUCACUGAUUCCUCCUUCCUGAAGAACCGUAAUGCCAUUAAUUUGGUGUUGCGGGGAAACAGGACUGAUACUUUGAAAACAUUAGAGUGUUUAAAGCAAGCUAACGCUUGAAUACAUUAGCAUGGAAUAAUGAACUAGGACGAUCGAUCCUAUUUUGUUGGUUUCUAGGAUUGACGUA
rnacentral:rRNA from 1 species